GUCAUUUCUUCGGACCUCUGACACUUGAUAAAAUUGGAACGAUUCAGAGAAGAUUAGUAUGGCCCCUGCGCAAGGAUGGCACGUAAUUCUUGAAUGGCAACCUCUACGGGGAAUUUUUUUUU
rnacentral:snRNA from 1 species